CUGAAUGGAAACACAUGCUAGGACUCAGGCUGGUAUUUGAAGACAUUGUUUCUGAUAUUCACAGUGAAAGGAAAGAAUAAACAAUUCAAAAGAAGAGACUGAACUCUUGAAGAAAAACUACUAUAAGCUGCAUACGUGUCUUCUGUAUGACCUAUGAACAGCAAUGGAAAUCAAAGGAACAGCAAAUGAAACUGCAAAUUGCUAAACUAGAGAUGGCUAUCAAAUCUGAUUUAGCAGACAAAAAUGAAAUCCUUGACGAGAUCAAAGUAGAAAGAGGUAUAUUUCUGAAAAAAUAAAAUAUUUUCUCAAGCUCUGAGGUCAUACUUAUGUUGAAGUUCAGGAAUAUUGCCCAGAAAAGUGUAGUUUCUAUUGCUGGUGAUUUCAAAGCUGCCUUUUAAGUGAACAUUGGUACAAUAUGCUAAGGUUAUGACUAGCUAUUAAGUACAAAAUUGACCAAAUACAGAUUAUAUGCUGAAUKAGGCUCAUAUCUUUUCAGCUGCAUUUAUUUUUCUUCUGUUGGGUUAAUACUUACACUUUUCUUCAGUAUUUCUUCUCUCCUCUACAUUGAAAGCUCUUAUGGAAAAGAGGCCCAUGUGACAGUCUCUGUCAAAUUAUAGUCACUAUUCAAUUUACUGUACAAAGUAACAUGAAGCCUGUACUGGCCCUUGGCCAUGUUUAAUUGUCUUUCAACUUCAUUAAUUCAGAAAUUUUUAAUAUUGUCAAUAUAUACUCAUUUUUAUUUACAGCUAUGUACAUUUUUGAGUAAUAUGUUUUUCUUCUAAUUACAGAACAGAUUAUUUCAUAUGUGUUUUUCCCAUCCUGUARGGAAACUUCUCAGAGAAUAUUUAAGACUAUGCAAUCUUUUUUUGUGUCUCAACACUGUGGUAUAUACUGUGGCAAUAUAUAAGUUUUACAAAAGAAGAUCAGAGGCAGGAAAUAACUCAAAUAUUUUUAGCCUUGAUUCUUCAAAUGUGUAUUUUUCAAAAGGUGUGUUUCUGUUAACAGUCUAAUGGAAUCAAGUGGACCAACCUUUUGYGAGUUGGAGUAUGAAGCCAUAAUGAGUAUGGCUUCAGUUCAUUAUGUGUUAUCUGAGUAGCUUUAUUGACAUCUAACACCAGAUGGAAUAUUUCAAUAUUUUCUUUGGCCACAGCCAGUGUUGGCCUUAAGUGAUAGCUAAAAUAAAAAAAAAAAAAGAUACAUUAAUCUAUAUUAAUAUGAAGUUACGACAUAUUGACACUUGUUACUGACAGCUCAAUUAGGUAAUGCUAAAUUUAAAGUGAUUUUCAGAGCAUGAAAAUACCAUGGGCUGUGCUAUUAUUUGGUUAAACUGAAUGUGGAAAAUUAAGCAAAGAUUUCAAUCUUCUGUCCUUCCCAUGGGCAUAAUGUUCAAGUGGCAGUCUCUCUCUUCCCCAGAUUGGCACUUGAUAGCUUCUUAUACUCUUAACUGUAUCAUCAGGGUGCUACACUUUCAAUUGCUAUUGCUAUUGCUAUUGCUAUUGCACUUUCAUUGCUUCAACUUGAGUAGAUGUUCUAAUACCCUUCAAGGCCUGUUUGUCUAGGACUUGAUUACAGCUUCUUAUUGCUGCUGCAGAAAUAUUCACAGAAUGACAGAAUGGUUCAGGUUGGAAGGGAUCACAUUGGGAUCAACUCACA